AGCAGACCAGUUUCACGAAACACCGCAGUCGCAGCUUCUGCGAGAUACGACAGCGUGGUGGGAUGUCCCAGCCUCUCGAGUUCUUCGCGAGCGACGCGAUAACGCAACUCGGGCUUGUCCCCCAGCGUGAAUAGCGCCUCCCUGCACCCCGCCUUCUUGCCCGCUUGCGCAAUGGCCACCAUCUGCUCGAUCGAAAGAUAAGGCUUUUCACCAUUACGUGGCG
rnacentral:misc_RNA from 1 species